UGCCAGCCGCCGCGGUAAUACGUAGGGGGCGAGCGUUAUCCGGAUUUAUUGGGCGUAAAGGGUUCGCAGGCGGCCUUUUAAGUCAGGUGUAAAAGAUCACAGCUCAACUGUGGUAAGCACUUGAAACUGAAAGGCUUGAGUCAAGGAGAGGAAAGUGGAAUUCCUAGUGUAGCGGUGAAAUGCGUAGAUAUUAGGAGGAAUAUCAGUGGCGAAGGCGACUUUCUGGACUUGUACUGACGCUGAGGAACGAAAGUGUGGUUAGCAAACAGGAUUAGAUA
rnacentral:rRNA from 1 species